GGGCUGCUACAUUUAUAUGUGAUGAUAUUGUGGCACUGGGCUGUCCACUUGCAGACAGAUAUUUUGAGGAAUCCAAUUCUGCAGGACUUAGUACAAGGCUCUAACAGACAGACUUUUUUUCCAGCAGAUAGACUAACUUUACUCUGUGUUGCACUCCAGAUAUACUGUUUAAAGUUUAACAAUUCUGAUUUAGUUUUUGUUGUUUAUUAUUUUUAACUUUCAAACACUCUAAAUUUACAAGAGACUGCAGUUUUAAAAUAGCGUUGUCAG